UACGAAGGGGGCUAGCGUUGCUCGGAAUCACUGGGCGUAAAGGGUGCGUAGGCGGGUUUUUAAGUCAGAGGUGAAAUCCUGGAGCUCAACUCCAGAACUGCCUUUGAUACUGAAAGUCUUGAGUAUGGGAGAGGUGAGUGGAACUGCGAGUGUAGAGGUGAAAUUCGUAGAUAUUCGCAGGAACACCAGUGGCGAAGGCGGCUCACUGGCCCAUUACUGACGCUGAGGCACGAAAGCGUGGGGAGCAAACAGG
rnacentral:rRNA from 1 species